rnacentral:rRNA from 1 species
UUAAUGAAAUGAUAAGUCGGCCUUCUGUGCUGGUGGCAACACAUGUGCAYGUUGGUCGCAAAUCCACACACCUGUGCACCUUUGACUUUGGGACCUGCUUGCUUUUUUGCAUGCRGCUGGUCUACACUGCUGUYGACCUGGGUCUUAAAGUAUUUUCACACACUCUUAAUGUAAUGGAAUGUCUCUGUGCUUAAUGCGCAAAUMUACAACUUUCAACAACGGAUCUCUUGGCUCUCGCACCGAUGAAGAACGCAGCGAAAUGCGAUAAGUAAUGUGAAUUGCAGAAUCCAGUGAAUCAUCGAAUCUUUGAACGCACCUUGCACCCUGUGGUAUUCCAGAGGGUACACCCGUUUGAGUGUCAUUGUAAUAUCACUUCACCAGGCUUUUGACUGGYGGAGGUGGACCUGGGCCCUGCCAUGUUAUUAUGGCUGGUCUAAAAAACAUGAGUGCAACCUGCUGUUUGCAGCGUCUUCAGUGUGAUAAUUAUCUUCAUUGAACAAAGUUCCCUCAAGGGACACGCUUUCUUAGCAGGCUCUGUGCUUUCAAACCGUCCUUGGACACUUUUUGACAACUUGACCUCAAAUCGGGUGGGACUACCCGCUGAACUUAAGCAUAUCAAUAAGCGGAGGAAAAGAAACUAACAAGGAUUCCCUUAGUAACGGCGAGUGAAGAGGGAAAAGCUCAAAUUUUAAAUCUGGCGUCUUCGGCGUCCGAGUUGUAAUCUAGAGAAGUGUUUUCGGCCUCGGACCACACAUAAAUUCCCUGGAAUGGGGUGUCAUAGAGGGUGAGAAUCCCGUUUGUGGUGUGGACUGCCUUG